UACAGAGGUCCCAAGCGUUGUUCGGAUUCACUGGGCGUAAAGGGUGCGUAGGCGGUCGGGUAAGUCUGAUGUGAAGUCUCACAGCUUAACUGUGAAACUGCAUUGGAUACUAUUCGGCUUGAGAGUUGGAGGGGGGACUGGAAUUUACGGUGUAGCGGUGAGAUGCGUAGAUAUCGUAAGGAAGACCAGUGGCGAAGGCAGGUCUCUGGACAGUUCCUGACGCUGAGGCACGAAGGCCAGGGGAGCAAACGGG
rnacentral:rRNA from 1 species